UACGUAGGGUGCAAGCGUUGAUCGGAAUUACUGGGCGUAAAGCGUGCGCAGGCGGUGAUGUAAGACAGUUGUGAAAUCCCCGGGCUCAACCUGGGAACUGCAUCUGUGACUGCAUCGCUGGAGUGCGGCAGAGGGGGAUGGAAUUCCGCGUGUAGCAGUGAAAUGCGUAGAUAUGCGGAGGAACACCGAUGGCGAAGGCAAUCCCCUGGGCCUGCACUGACGCUCAUGCACGAAAGCGUGGGGAGCAAACAG
rnacentral:rRNA from 1 species